GUUUAUUCAUAACGGGUGAGAGAUCGUUAGUGAACCUGUUGGACAUAUUUUUUCUUCGUCAUAGGAGCCACAUCGAGUAUCAAGUUUUACCUCGCCAGUUCGAGAAGGACAGUUUGCCCGCUGUCAGAAGUAUUGUGAGUACUACAAGUUUGGUAGCUAACUAAAUCGAAAUCGCUCUGUCGUCUUACCCUUGGAGAGAUUAUUGUGGAGCAGUUUGCUCAUUGAACCGGUUGCUUGCCACGUUUAUAACGGUCACUGUGUUUAACCUUUGGAAGGUUAGUGAAGUAAUCUUUAUUAGUACUGAAUAUUGAUAUAUUUAGUAUUCGUCGGUCUAGACCAUACCUAGACUUGUUAGCAGUGAAGUUGUGGAAACAGCUACAUCCACUUAAUUUCGUUGUAAAAACCGUUAAUCGUCUAACGGAACGUCGUCGGAGGUGACCUUGGUUUCACCUAGUCUACAUUGGACAGUUUGGUCUAGUGAAGCAGAGUACAACAGCAAACUUCGUCGUACUACCAGAGUAGCAGCAGAAGCAGUGAACUAUUUUAGAGAACAGUUAUUCGUCAGCCCAGAUCAAGUCAUCGUCAAGAAAGUCGUUAUUCGUCAGCCCAGAUCAAGUCAUCGUCAAGAAAGCCGUUAUUCGUCAGUCCAGAUCAAGACAUCGUCAAGAAAUUCGUUAUUCGUCAGUCGUCCAGAUCAAGUUGCCGUCAAGAGACUGUUAUUUGUCAGUAGUCAUCUACACAAGUCAAGUCAUCGUCAGAAGAACCGUUAACCUAUUCGUCAGUAACUGUGUACACAAAGUCGUCGGAACUACACAUACGGUCAUCAACAGUCGUCAAAGAAACUGGAACAUUUUGCUGUGGCAUAUCAGGACAUCUGUGGCAUUACGUGGGAUACUGGUAGCACCGGAGAACAGAGUCAGAACUGGAAGAGAGGCAGUGGAAUUUGUUGUGAUCUAGCAUAUUCGGGAGUCCGAACAAAGGGAUCUUUCUUAUCAAAAGCUAAGUGCCAUUUUUCUUAUUAGUAUAUGUUUAGAUUGCCCUUAGAAAUAGAUUUUGUCUAAAUUUGGUACGUUAGCCUGAGUAAAAUCAGGUGGUGCGCCUUAAAACCCGUCGGGGUAGAAGACGUAAUUUAGAUGAAAAGCUAUAUUAUACGUUUAGAGUUGUAAUUUGUUUUGUUUGUGUAAACGUCAUAUCCGUUGUUGCCUGGUUACUUCGUGACGUCAUCAUUGUGUGCCAUAUUGUCAUAUCCCAACCCAUAGCGAUAGUCUCAUUUAAUUAUUUCAUUUGUUUAUAUUAUUUUAAAUUAUUUAUUUUUAUUAAUUUAAUUAGAUCUGUAUUUUUUUUCACUUAAUGAUAGAAAGUGCGGGUAGGAUUCUUUUACUGUGAAUCAGACUAAAAUAAUUUUAGUUUGAGCGGUUAAAAUCAAAUAUGAUUUUGCCAUGAGAAUAAUGCCGAAACUGGCUAUGUAGUCAAACACUGUCGUCUGGCUAAAUAUAGAUCUGCAAAUUGUUGUACAUCUCUUUGGUACAAUUUAAUUAUCUAGACUCUAAUUUGAAAUAUUAUUAAUUGAAAAAUGAAUGAAGAUUACUGCCAGUGAAGAACAUUUGUGACGUGUGACGUGCCCAUAAGAUGCCACAUUUUCUUUUAUGAUGAACUGUGUACUAGUGAAGAUGAUUUUGGAAUGUUAUGAACUGUUAUGAACAUUGACAUGAAUAUGAGAAACUGUCAAGAUGAAGAUGUCAAGAUGAAGAGAUCAAGAUUUUAUGUUUGUGGUCUUCCCCUUAAAUUGAAAAUGCCCUUGUAAGACUUGACAGUAGUGGAAAAAUAUUGACAUAUUUUUUUUUCAAGGGGGGGAGGAAUCUGUUAGACACCUUAUUUAUAUAGGUUAGUUAUUUUAGUUAUUUAGCGACGCACCAUAGUAGACGCAUAUUGAACGGGACUAGUGACGUUUGGGAUAUGUUGGGUUAGAGACAGGAAAAAUCAGUUAGCGAUAUAACAUUACAGGGUAACGACGUGUUUAGUGACAGAGACUUCUACUGUGGCCUUUUAUCAGAAUAAAUCCAUGUGAACUUGUU